AAAAGAGAAGGUCAAGAGUAAGAAGGAAGGAACAAAUCAUCUCAAAUUUUGGUUGUACAGUAGAUCCCGUCAGGCUAAUAUUGUAGCAGCCCGUUUUUCAGUGGUGUCGGAAACAGUGGUUUUGGGGCCACCAAAUUCGACGAGGUGCAUAUUAAGAUCGAGUGGAAAUUUGAGGAGAAUGGAAAACUACCAAAAUGCCCAUGUACUUUGUCAUUUCUACAAUUUAGCCAGAUUAUCAGAAGCUCAAUCGAGUUGGAAGCUAGUCGGAGAUCCAUCACACUAUCCUUCGGCUAUAUUGGUAGAUUUUCAUGAUUUUGAGUCAUGGUUACAAUGGCAUGUAUAUGUGUCUUUGUUUGAUAAAAUUAGCCAUUAUGUUUGGCUUGUAAAUAUGUUAUUUUAAGUGAAGAAAUAAUUGUUAUGUUGACAUGUAUGUAUGGUACUUUAAUGGUUGUUAGUUUGGUAUUUAAGUUCUUAAA